AAAAAAAAAAAAAAGUGCCUUGUGUCAACAAUUAAUUCUUUAUCAAGUUUCCAUUAAUUUCUAAGUACUUCCAGGAGUCAUUUGUACAUACUGAUUUAUUUGAUGACCAUAAUCAUGAGUUAAACGUCACCGUGGGCCUUGACAUGGCUCAGUAGAUAAAGACACAUGCUGCCAAACCUAGAGACCUGAGUUUGACACUCAGGACCCACAUAGUGAAAUGAGAGAGCUGCAAAGAGAGAGAGAGAGAAUAAAUUCUCAAAAACUACUUGUUAGCUGCAUUUCGAAUAGGGGGAAACCCUGAGAUACUGAAUCACUUUCCCUGGGUUACUCAAUCAGCAAAUGCAGAGAUGGAAUUUGAACCCAGGAAGUUUAUUCACUGUACCGCACUGCCUCUGGGUAAACGUUUAACUCUGAAUUAUGGAUGCUGAUGGCAUGAACACUCUGCCCGGCCCCUUCCUGAAGAGAUCAAGUGCGUGAACCAACAUGAAUGAAACCGGCAGUUGCUAGCACUGAAGUGGGCAGAUAAGAGAAAAGGACGGAGGCCAUGCUCAGUGGCCCAGGGGUGGUGGGCAGUGGAGCAGAGCAGAGGAAAGGAAACCUCUGAGGAAGAGGACUCCUUAUAGUAUCAGGGCAGAAGCCCUCAUCUGGAGACCUGGGGGGCUGAGUCAUCCUGGAAAGAGGCAGCCAUGUUAGUAGACACUCAGCAUGACCCCUGCUCUUUUCCAGACCCCCAGUGAGUCAUCUGCCUUCACAAACCCUGCCAUGCUAAUGACAUAUGCAACCUUCUAGACAAGAACACAUACACAGGGUGUUUGGGAAAACAGGGAUGGAUGCUUUAGUUAAGUUUUCUAGUUGGCAAAGAACUUCUAUGCUUCCUUAAAUAUUUUUUUUUAGCAGUUUUGGAGAGACAUCUACUUACAAAGACUAAAUUCCUUCCUUCUUUUAAAAAGUAUUUAUUUGGGUGUAAGUACACAUGGGUACAUGUGUGCCACUGUGUAUGUGUGAAUGUCAGGAGACAACUUUGGGG
rnacentral:lncRNA from 1 species